ACUUUUUCUCCUCCUACACUUUCAUUUAAGGGACGACUUGUUUUUUAGCCACACGAUUAUGUCUGAUAAAAGAGAGUCAUCCGAGAGCGCCGCGAAGGCGGACGUUCAAGGGGAUCAUACAAAGUCCGAUUCGUCGCCGGCACCUGUCGUCUCUGGGGACAAGGGUGCUGAUACGGCGGCUGUCGACGGCGCGUCCUCAGCCUCUAAGAAGUCGGUCGGAAAUGUUCAGAAUGGUGAAUCGGAGUCUUCUGUGUUAGAGGAAGCGCCUGACGUGUUGACUAACUCUGCCAUCCACAAGACUGGGAGGACGAUGAAGACGUCUUGUUGAACGUGCGUGCCAAGCUCUAUCGGUUCGACGUGGCGGGAAAGGAGUGGAAGGAGCGAGGAACAGGAUUUGCUCGAUUGCUGAAACACAGAGAGACAAAAAAAAUUCGCUUUUUGAUGCGCCGAGAUAAAACCUACAAAAUUUGUGGAAAUCACUAUGUUCUUCCGUUUAUGAAUCUCCAGCCCAAUGCGAACAACGAUCGUUCGUGGAUCUGGAACUGCCCUGUAGAUUUUUCCGAGGACUACAACAAGCCGAGCAAGGACAUAUAUGCCAUUCGUUUCCAGACGUUGGAAAACGCUCAAGAGUUCAAGAAGGUUUGGGAGAAUUCGCAGAAGGAGAUGAAGGAGCUUGAGGAGAAGAAGCAGAGCUAGGCGUUUUGUGCUUCGCCGCAUUUUGAUAGAGUCGGUCUAUUUCGGUGUGCAAAAUCUUUCUUAAUAGAGAGGGAGUUUUAGAUGUCAUUUGA